GUUCUCAUUCUCGUCCCCCUUAUUAUAUGGGGACAUAAUAAUACCUUUGCUCCUUUGGCAGGAGAACACCCAGCGUUAUUUACUGGGGUAAAUCAGGUCCCGAGUAAGAAGGACUUUGUUCUGUGUAGACAGGAUUGGGCCCGCUCCCCUUCUCUGCUUCCCACGUGGGCCUUCAGCACCUCCCGCCUGCUCCUUUGCCUCCCCNGCCUUCUCUGCUGCCCAGAACCUCUUCUGUCCCCCCAGCUGCUGCCACUGGGUCCUUCAGAACCCCUCCUAUGCUGCCGUGUCCUUCCCUCCCUCCUUUUUAGAAACAGGGAAAAUGCACCUUCAGGGGUGAAGGCCAUCCUCCCAAGAAGGCUUCCCAAUGCACAGGAGACUUUUGUGGAUUUCCACUUAUUUAUUUAUUCGUUUACUGUCCAGCAGACCCGGCCUGACAGUUUUCUGGAUGACUUCCAGUCAACCUGAUGCAUCCCGUUAAUGUUACUUAAUUUUCUCUCAGUUUGCCUCAUGACUGAUUCACGGGUCUGCCCAGCAUGUCCGUUCUGUGUGUCCCCUGCCGCCGGCCUGCUGCCACUUCUGGACUGCCCUUGGCCAUCCGCUCCUUCUGUGCGCCUCCCCUCGGGAUGCCAAGCGCAGGUAUCCGUGGAACGCAGGCAGACAGUUGGCUUGGGAGCUGUACAGAGAAAAGGCUGCAGUGCUGUUUGCCGAGCGGCCGCCAGGGCUGGCCAGGAAGUGGCACCCUUGAUGGCUUACAAAAUAUAAAGAACCCCACCCUGAACUGAAAAAAUAUGAAACCCCAGUUGUGAAAACAGCCGNCCCUGCUCGGAUUUCAGCGCUUUUUGCUUCAGGCAGACGGGCAGAAGAGGGGCUGCCAGUCUCUCCCCUCCCGCCAGGGGAUUCUGGAGCCUGGGAGAACAGUUUUCUGCAAAGGUGCCCCUGAGGGUGGGGCCCCGGGAGGAGGGUCUCUCUGGCUGACCCAGACACCNGGCUNGUUCCUGAGUUGCGCAGGCCUCAGAGGCCAUAGCUAGCAGCAGAGAAAGCUGUUCUGUCCGGGAGCCGCAGAAUCCUUGCCGCAAGCUCUGUCCACGGCUGCAGCAUCCUGCAGCAGCUCCCUCAGGCUUCUCAAAGGCAGCGCAAAGGCCUAGAGCAUGUUCCAGCAGGAGUGCAGCUGGGCGGCCACCCAGCCCUGGCGCCUUACCCAUGCAAAGGCCUCCUCCUGGCCGCCCACAGCGUCUGAGAGGUCAUGGCAGGUCCAGCCAAAAACGACCUUCAGCUUUCUUUUGGCAGUCUUUUCCAUCGUUGCCCAGUUCCUGCCGGCUUGGAAGUACCUUAACAGGGGGCUUGUGGGACACCAGCACCGGCAUCUGUUUGAUGCCAUCAGUUAGGUCUUGCCCGUGCUGACGUGCCCUGGCGAAGGCCCCCAAGAGACUGCCCUCUGGUGGAAACCAGAGAGGCAGCGUGGAGUUUUCCCCAAGGGAGGCAGUCUGGAUAUUGUGUCCACAGGCUGGGAGCUUGGCUUCGCUAUAGGUAAAAGAUCUCAGGAUACUUUGCCACUCCUGGUGCUUUUGACCGUCAAGCAUCACGUGCCACUAACCAUUUUAUUUAUUAUAUUUUUCAUUCCGUCCUGUGCUGGAGGGUCUCAGGACAGGUUGCAGCGGUAAAAACAACAGAAGUGCC
ensembl:lncRNA